UUGAAAGCCUCCACUCGGAUGCGCUCGCGGGUGGCGUGGGCCGAACGGUACUUGGCCGUGGCGCGCCGGCGACGGCGCUUUUCUUCGCGGCUCAGCUGCUGCGGGUGCGGGUAGAGCGCGGCCCGGCUGCCGCCCUUGCCGUCGCCGUCCGCCUCCUCCACCGGCUCUAGGUCGGACACGCUGCCCAGAACCUUGGUGUCUGCGCCGCCCAGAGACUCCGGGUCCGAGCCCACGCAAGUGGGGAGGCAAGGAGCAGGUAUCAAAGCGCAUUCCGAACCCACACAGAAACCUGCCGGUGGAGCGGCCAGUGGCGCUGGGACUGAAGAACCGCGGACCUCUGGGGCCGGCUGACAUCUUGUGUCUCCUCUGGCCAGACAUCAGCUGUUUUCUCCCGUCUCCCUUGCUCCUUCCCCUUCCCAGACACAGGAAAGAUCCCGAAGGAUUGAUGCCCAAAGGAUGGAUGCAUCUGGGUUUUAAUGGAGAUGCAGAGUGUGUUUCCUAUCCGAGGGCCUAGGGCAAGGCAGCUGGAGACUCCCAGCGCCUGAGGGUCUGGUCUGCGCUAGGGUGCGGGCGAACCCCAUCCUGGAACCUAGGCCGGGAAGGCUUUCUUGCCGUCCCCUCCCCGCGUUUCUCCGAAAUAAUAAAGAAAUGACCGAACACAUGUGUUCGGUCCUUUCAAAAGAAAA